GACGAACGCUGGCGGUAUGCUUAACACAUGCAAGUCGAACGAGAAGUUUUUUAUUGAACCUUCGGGGGAUAUAAGAGACAGACAGUGGCGAACGGGUGAGUAACGCGUGGGCAACCUACCUAUCGGAGCGGGAUAGCCUCGAGAAAUCGGGAGUAAAACCGCAUAACACGGAUAUAUCGCAUGAUGAAUCCGUCAAAACUCCGGUGCCGAUAGAUGGGCCCGCGUCUGAUUAGCUAGUUGGUAAGGUAAGGGCUUACCAAGGCAACGAUCAGUAGCCGGUUUGAGAGGGCGAACGGCCACACUGGAACUGAGACACGGUCCAGACUCCUACGGGAGGCAGCAGUGGGGAAUAUUGCGCAAUGGGGGCAACCCUGACGCAGCAAUACCGCGUGAGUGAAGAAGGUUUUCCGAUCGUAAAGCUCUGUUAUUGGGGAAGAAGCAGGACGGUAC
rnacentral:rRNA from 1 species